AACAGGAUAGAUACCCUGUAGUCCACGCCGUAAACGUGGGUACUAGGUUGGGCUCAUUUCACGAGUUCGUCCGUAGCUACGCAUUAGUACCCCCGCCUGGGGAGUACGGCCGCAGGCUAAAACUCAAAGGAAUGACGGGGGCCCGCACAAGCGGCGGAGCAUGUGGAUAAUUCGGAUGCAACGCGAAGACCUUACCCUGGUUUUGACAUACCCCAGACGCAGCCAGAGAUGGUUGUUCCUUUGUGGUUGGUGUACAGGUGGUGCAUGGCGGUGUUCAGCUCGUGUCGUGAGAUGUUGGGUUAAUUCCCGCAACGAGCGCAACCCUUUUCCUGUAUUCCCAGCGGGUUAUCCCGGGGACUUCCAGGAGACUCCCGGGGUCAAUUGGGAGGAAGGUGGGGAGGACGUCAAGUCAUCAUGCCCCUUAUGUCCAGGGCUUCACCCAUGCUCCAAUGGCCGGUACAGAGGGCUGGGAUACCGUGAGGGGGAGGGAAUCCCUUAAAGCCGGUUUCAGUUCGGAUCGGGGUCUGCAACUCGACCCCGUGAAGUCGGAGUCGCUAGUAAUCGCAGAUCAGCAACGCUGCGGUGAAUACGUUCCCGGGCCUUGUACACACCGCCCGUCACGUCAUGAAAGUCGGUAACACCCGAAGCC
rnacentral:rRNA from 1 species